UUAAGCGACUAAGCGUACACGGUGGAUGCCCUGGCAGUCAGAGGCGAUGAAGGACGUGCUAAUCUGCGAUAAGCGUCGGUAAGGUGAUAUGAACCGUUAUAACCGGCGAUUUCCGAAUGGGGAAACCCAGUGUGUUUCGACACACUAUCAUUAACUGAAUCCAUAGGUUAAUGAGGCGAACCGGGGGAACUGAAACAUCUAAGUACCCCGAGGAAAAGAAAUCAACCGAGAUUCCCCCAGUAGCGGCGAGCGAACGGGGAGCAGCCCAGAGCCUGAAUCAGUGUGUGUGUUAGUGGAAGCGUCUGGAAAGGCGCGCGAUACAGGGUGACAGCCCCGUACACAAAAAUGCACAUGCUGUGAGCUCGAUGAGUAGGGCGGGACACGUGGUAUCCUGUCUGAAUAUGGGGGGACCAUCCUCCAAGGCUAAAUACUCCUGACUGACCGAUAGUGAACCAGUACCGUGAGGGAAAGGCGAAAAGAACCCCGGCGAGGGGAGUGAAAAAGAACCUGAAACCGUGUACGUACAAGCAGUGGGAGCACGCUUAGGCGUGUGACUGCGUACCUUUUGUAUAAUGGGUCAGCGACUUAUAUUCUGUAGCAAGGUUAACCGAAUAGGGGAGCCGAAGGGAAACCGAGUCUUAACUGGGCGUUAAGUUGCAGGGUAUAGACCCGAAACCCGGUGAUCUAGCCAUGGGCAGGUUGAAGGUUGGGUAACACUAACUGGAGGACCGAACCGACUAAUGUUGAAAAAUUAGCGGAUGACUUGUGGCUGGGGGUGAAAGACCAAUCAAACCGGGAGAUAGCUGGUUCUCCCCGAAAGCUAUUUAGGUAGCGCCUCGUGAAUUCAUCUCCGGGGGUAGAGCACUGUUUCGGCAAGGGGGUCAUCCCGACUUACCAACCCGAUGCAAACUGCGAAUACCGGAGAAUGUUAUCACGGGAGACACACGGCGGGUGCUAACGUCCGUCGUGAAGAGGGAAACAACCCAGACCGCCAGCUAAGGUCCCAAAGUCAUGGUUAAGUGGGAAACGAUGUGGGAAGGCCCAGACAGCCAGGAUGUUGGCUUAGAAGCAGCCAUCAUUUAAAGAAAGCGUAAUAGCUCACUGGUCGAGUCGGCCUGCGCGGAAGAUGUAACGGGGCUAAACCAUGCACCGAAGCUGCGGCAGCGACGCUGAUGCGUUGUUGGGUAGGGGAGCGUUCUGUAAGCCUGCGAAGGUGUGCUGUGAGGUAUGCUGGAGGUAUCAGAAGUGCGAAUGCUGACAUAAGUAACGAUAAAGCGGGUGAAAAGCCCGCUCGCCGGAAGACCAAGGGUUCCUGUCCAACGUUAAUCGGGGCAGGGUGAGUCGACCCCUAAGGCGAGGCCGAAAGGCGUAGUCGAUGGGAAACAGGUUAAUAUUCCUGUACUUGGUGUUACUGCGAAGGGGGGACGGAGAAGGCUAUGUUGGCCGGGCGACGGUUGUCCCGGUUUAAGCGUGUAGGCUGGUUUUCCAGGCAAAUCCGGAAAAUCAAGGCUGAGGCGUGAUGACGAGGCACUACGGUGCUGAAGCAACAAAUGCCCUGCUUCCAGGAAAAGCCUCUAAGCAUCAGGUAACAUCAAAUCGUACCCCAAACCGACACAGGUGGUCAGGUAGAGAAUACCAAGGCGCUUGAGAGAACUCGGGUGAAGGAACUAGGCAAAAUGGUGCCGUAACUUCGGGAGAAGGCACGCUGAUAUGUAGGUGAAGUCCCUCGCGGAUGGAGCUGAAAUCAGUCGAAGAUACCAGCUGGCUGCAACUGUUUAUUAAAAACACAGCACUGUGCAAACACGAAAGUGGACGUAUACGGUGUGACGCCUGCCCGGUGCCGGAAGGUUAAUUGAUGGGGUCAGCGCAAGCGAAGCUCUUGAUCGAAGCCCCGGUAAACGGCGGCCGUAACUAUAACGGUCCUAAGGUAGCGAAAUUCCUUGUCGGGUAAGUUCCGACCUGCACGAAUGGCGUAAUGAUGGCCAGGCUGUCUCCACCCGAGACUCAGUGAAAUUGAACUCGCUGUGAAGAUGCAGUGUACCCGCGGCAAGACGGAAAGACCCCGUGAACCUUUACUAUAGCUUGACACUGAACAUUGAGCCUUGAUGUGUAGGAUAGGUGGGAGGCUUUGAAGUGUGGACGCCAGUCUGCAUGGAGCCGACCUUGAAAUACCACCCUUUAAUGUUUGAUGUUCUAACGUUGACCCGUAAUCCGGGUUGCGGACAGUGUCUGGUGGGUAGUUUGACUGGGGCGGUCUCCUCCUAAAGAGUAACGGAGGAGCACGAAGGUUGGCUAAUCCUGGUCGGACAUCAGGAGGUUAGUGCAAUGGCAUAAGCCAGCUUGACUGCGAGCGUGACGGCGCGAGCAGGUGCGAAAGCAGGUCAUAGUGAUCCGGUGGUUCUGAAUGGAAGGGCCAUCGCUCAACGGAUAAAAGGUACUCCGGGGAUAACAGGCUGAUACCGCCCAAGAGUUCAUAUCGACGGCGGUGUUUGGCACCUCGAUGUCGGCUCAUCACAUCCUGGGGCUGAAGUAGGUCCCAAGGGUAUGGCUGUUCGCCAUUUAAAGUGGUACGCGAGCUGGGUUUAGAACGUCGUGAGACAGUUCGGUCCCUAUCUGCCGUGGGCGCUGGAGAACUGAGGGGGGCUGCUCCUAGUACGAGAGGACCGGAGUGGACGCAUCACUGGUGUUCGGGUUGUCAUGCCAAUGGCACUGCCCGGUAGCUAAAUGCGGAAGAGAUAAGUGCUGAAAGCAUCUAAGCACGAAACUUGCCCCGAGAUGAGUUCUCCCUGACUCCUUGAGAGUCCUGAAGGAACGUUGAAGACGACGACGUUGAUAGGCCGGGUGUGUAAGCGCAGCGAUGCGUUGAGCUAACCGGUACUAAUGAACCGUGAGGCUUAACCUU
rnacentral:rRNA from 1 species